GUUAAAUUUCCAUUGAUGAUUUUUUUAUAUUGUGUAUCUUAAUAUCUUUAUACAAAAUGAGUGUUUGCUGGUACAUUGCCAUGAUUUUUAGCAUUAUAUACAGACAGGAUGUACUUUUAAAUUGAUUCAGUAAAAUUUCCCAGUAAGAUAUUACAUGUAGUGGAAAAUAGUAGUCAGAAAUUGAUUUGGUGUAUGUAUUGUAACACAUUGCAGGGGACAUAAAAAAAUGUAUAAAUGCUGUCUGUCCAGUCUUGUAGCCCUCUGCCUUUCACCUGUACAAUUCUGAUUUUGUGUUGAUCAACUGUUUUAAAGAGAGUUAUGUCUCUUAGUAAUAUUAAUUAUAUG
rnacentral:lncRNA from 1 species